ACCAGCAGCCAUAUCACCCUACAACUCACAACUGGCAACCCACUGAAGCUAAGCAGGUGUGAGCCUGGUCAGUACCUGGAUGGGAGACCUCCUGGGAAAAACUAAGGUUGCUGCUGGAA
ensembl:rRNA 5S_rRNA 5S ribosomal RNA